CCUGGUGGCUCAGAGGAUAAAGCGUUUGCCUGCAAUGCAGAAGACCUGGGUUCGAUCCCUGGGUCAGGA
rnacentral:tRNA from 1 species